GCUGCCUACGCACAGGUCUUCCAGAAGCCAAAGCUUCCACGGCCAGCACUCAGAUAACCUGCAGACUCCCCAGUGAUGCAGACCUCACCUCCCUUUCCUCCCUUCCUGGUGUUCCCGGAACAAUAAGAAAGUAACAUUAGUUUGCAGAGAGGCCUCGCCAUUCAGGGCCUCCUGGGUUGCGCGUCCUGAGAGGCGGGGCCAGCAGCCGGGCCCUCUCUCCAUUGGUUGGGCCCAGCAGGUAACCCGAAGCUUUGCUGUGAGGUGCAUAAAUAAAGAGUGAAACUAGUGCCACCUCCUUGAAAGGGGCUGAGCGCUUCUUCUUCCCCCUCGCCUUGGAAAAACCAGUUUCUCUCUCUUUCAUUGUCUGUUACCAACUUCUAUUCCAAAACUUCAACGGAACCCCAACCAUAUUCCAAACUGUCUUUCUCCAGCUACCUUUAGCCCCCUCCACUCCAACGCACUUUCCUCUGCUCUCAUAUGCCUUCUCACUAAAGGGAGACUGGCUUUGGGACCCACCCCUACCUUCCCCCAGGAGCCAUUUCUGUUCUGCACGGGCCUGCAGCACUGGACACUUUAUACACUCAUAAUAGGCCCUGCUGUGUUGAAGGUGCAGACACUCAUACCUACAGACAGGGGGCCUCCGGAGCACCCACCCUGCAGGCCGAGGACCCCACGUGAAGGCGAGGCGCUCCGCACACUCCCGCCGAGGACCUGAAGAAUCUGGUGGGCCAUCCAUUGGGGAGGAUGAAAGUGGGAUUUCAGUGGAGUGAAGUUCAGGAGGCAUGGAGCUGACGCCACAGCUGCAGCAGCCCCAACAGUGGCUGCGGGGGAGCUCUGACUUAGAAAACCGAACCCCAGGGAGAGAUGGGAUCGAGGAGGAGACCCUGGAGCAAAGUGUCUUCUGCAGAGGGGACGGGUGUCGGUGGAUUGGGAACAGCACCGCAGAUAGGAACCGCCUUCUGAAUGCCUGCAACGGGAAUGCGUGUUUUCUGUAACUUACAAACAUUAAAAAGUUGUCCGUCUGCUGGAAA